rnacentral:tRNA from 1 species
GUCUUAAUAAUUUAAUUAAAAAUAUUAGUCUUGUAAACUAAAAAUAAGGAAUCUUUUAAGACU